CGUUGCCACCCUCCAGGGGGCGGUGCUAAAUGUGAGGAAACGGAAGUGAGUCGACGAUUUCCUCAUCCUUCCCUGGGGCGCAUCGCUGCGCAGGCGCUGUAAAUGGUGAGCCUGGCCCUGCGGCCCCGCCUAGAGAACAGUGCUCUCUGGCGCCCCUCGCGGGCGGAAAACUUCGCUACUGCGUGGCCAUCGCUCUCGCGGUCGUGACCGGAAGAUGAGCUAUUAUUCGUAAGUGGCCAGGUGACCUGAAAACUCAGUCUCACACUUAAACGGUUUAUCCGUCAUCUGUUAGUCCUCAAUUCCCCAGAAGGCGUGAGCCCACUGUUUCUUACACUGCUUUGUAGGCGAGACCGUUCUGUGUUGGUUUAACACAGCAAAGUUUGCAGGGUGCUCGGGCUUUUGCAGCCCUUUCCGUGCCUCAGCUGACCUCAUUUCAACAGUAGUGUUCAGCUCAUACCGUGGACAAGGCAUGGUGGUGCACAUUGAUAAUCUCAACACUCUGGAUGCUGAAGCAAGACAAUUGGGAGCUCAAGGCCACAUUGGACAUCAUAGGAGAGAUCAUAUUUUAAAAUAUUUUCUAGGGAGAAGAUAUUGCUGAAAAAAUAAAAAUAAGUCUCAGAAGAGAAAAUUGAGAGAUGAGAAAGAAGUAUGCCUAAAAGCUAAGUCUUAAGAAUCAUUUGUAUCCUUGUAUUUCCUUUAAACAGCAGCAAUUUUGGGUUAGAAUUUUGGAGAUGGGUAGGUGACCCCAUCCCUUAACUGUGGGGAGCUAUGCCUAAACUCUAGUUAUAGUCUCAACAGGUUCUCCCUCCCCUCUGUAGGGUAUUUCAGUUGAUGUCAUCACCAUGGGGUCCUGGGAGGCCCUUUCUUUCCCAGCAUCUGGGACUUUCUGAUUCCCAUCCAGAGACUGCCUCAUCUGGGGAUCCAUCCCAUACGCAGACACCAAACCCAGACACUAUUGCUGAUGCCAAGAAGUGCUUGCUGACAGGAGUCUGACACAGCUGUCUCCUGAGAGGCUCUUUGAGCUAUAAGAGCAGCAUCUAGGAAGAUGAAUUAUAAACCAACUACAACAGGAGAGCUGGCUAUCUGAAGAAAAUGUCAAGAUAGCAGAACUAUUUCAGAAUGUAUGACGUCAGCAUGAUAUAAAGAUGUUUUUAAGGUGUGGUCUUUGCGUAAGCUUUUCCAGCUUAAUCAUGUGAAGUGAACUUUGUCCUAUAAAUAAAGUUCUUUGAAGCUAUUAAAUUGCUCUAAUGUUACAACACAACAUAGUGUUCAUAGAAUGCUUGUUAAAAAGGGGGAAACUAGAAGAGCUGCUUGACUGAAGAAACAGUUUUAUUACUUGAUAAUUUUCCUAUUAGAGUUAAAAUGGUAAGAUUUAUUUAUUAAAUAAUAAAAAAAUGUAAAAACUGCCCAACUACAUCAGUGCUGGAAAUUUUACUUUCAUAUGACUUGAACAAGCCAGUAUCUGAACCCUCAGAACGCUGGGGAUAUAGUUCUGUGAUAAAGCACUUGCCUAGUUUGUACAAGGCCUUUGUGGUCUACUCUCAGAACUGGAGGAAAAGGAGAGCCACGGUCCCUAAUCUGUGAAUUAAGAGCAUUUACUAUAUCAUUAGUAUUCUGUUUCUUUGAAGAUAAUUUGCUUAGAACAGAGUUUCUGCACGUUGAUAUGUACUAAUAGUAAAUGAUGGCUAGAAUUUAAUACUAACUAUUAGAUUAUCCUCAAUAUAGUUUGUGUGUUGUGUAACCAUUCGACUGUAGUUAUGUACCUAUAAUAUAAAGGAAAAUACCACUAUUUGCAUUUUAUUUCAGUUGACCUCAGCUGUUAAGAGAGAUGCUUUAAAGUUGAAAGAAAAUACAUAUUUCAGUACUUUAUAUAUGUGAUUCACCAUUAUAAUAUAGCCAUUUAAGUGUCUUAACACACUGUGUUUAUGAACCUAUAUUUAUAAACCAAAAAGCUCAUUGACACUAAUUUUAAAUAUAAUAUCUUACAAAUAAAUCAUAGUUUGUAUUUAUUUCUUAAUAGGUAUGUUUUUUGAAGUACAUUUCUAUCAAGUUUACAUCAAAAAUAGUAUAACUUAGUAUACAUUCCCUCCUAAGUAUACUUUAGUAUCUUAUAAGAAGAAAUUUUAACUAUUUAAGACUUUAGAGAGAAUUGAUGGUGAUAAAUUAAGUAAAAAUACUGUUUUGGUCCAUAUUGGUUUUUGUUUGGUAUAUGAUUUUGUUCCAUUCUCCUGCUGAUCCUAAUUCACGCUACCCUCACCUCCCAGGUGAAAGAGACACAAGGUUUGGAUGUGAUACAUCAUUCAGGUCCAGGUCACCCCAGCAAGGACUCACUUGCAAGGCAGUCAGCUGCUCAAGAUUAUGGUGGAUAUUUCUUCAAAUUCUUUCUGCUCAUUGUUGGUCUCCUUUGCAUUUUUGUUCUUGGCUUCAUCUUUGUCCAGUUUCACAAAUUCACUGAGAGUUAUUCAAAUGUUGCUGGAUAGUGAGGAAUGACUGUUCUUUAUUCACCUCUGUGGGGUCAGCAUCUGAUUCCCAGCAGUUUAAACUUGAAACAGAAAAAAAAAAAAGCAAACAAACAAAAAACACUUUUCUGCCAUCCUCUCUGGAGUGCAGAAGCAGCCCUUCAGGAUGGGCCAGUUCUUGAAGGUGGAGAUGCAGUGGUCCUUGAGAAACAGGUGCCAGGCCAGAGGGCAGUGCCAGAGUCUCCAAGACACUGUCACCACAACACUCUAUAUUGAACUUAAGAGAAAUGAAUGUAAAACUAAAGACUGUUAUGGCAUAGGUUGAAGAUGGGCUGAUUUUUUUCCUGAGAACAACUGAACAACUGAAUGUGUUACUUCUUAAGACCUUGAGCAAGGUGGUAUUGGUCUCAUUCUUAGAUUUUUGUUCAAUGGAAAACACUAUUGACUGAUGGUUCUGAAAAUUCUAUAAUAUAACAAAUAUGUUACAUUAUAGAAAAUAGGCAACUUAGAAAAUAGGAGGUGCUCGAUAAAUGUUAGUUGUUCCCAAAUAACAAUGUUUUGUAAGUGGGAUGUUGAUUAUUUUUAACCAUACUGGACUUCAUUUCUUCAGGAUACUAAAAUCAGUUGGUAUAUACACCUAUACACACACACACACACACACACACACACACACACACACACACACUGUUUUAUUGGUGACUAUAAGCAAAAGCAAACUGUUUCCACAUUACAUUCUGUUGAUAUACAAUUUAAGUAAUACAAAAAUAAUCUUACAAGUGUUAAUAUCAUAUUAAUUUCCUAUUUCUUUUAGUUAUAUCAUUUUCUUCCUGAAUAGGCAUAAAUCUAGCUGGGUUCCUUGAAACUUAAUAGGCUAAAAUAAGAUAUUUUCUUGUCUUGACUAUAAUAAACCAAGGAUGUUCUCAAUCUAACCCAGUUAAUCUCUGCGGUAGUUUAAAUGAAAAUGACCCCAUAGGCUCUUAUGGAGUGACAUUGUAGAAAGACUGGCCUUAUUGGAGUAGGUGUGGUCUUGUUGGAAGUAGGCCUGUUACUGGGUGUGGGCUUGAGCUCAAACUAGGCCUAGCAGAUCAGUUAGACUGGUUCUUUCCCAAAUGCUAUGGAUCAAGAUAUAAAACUCUCAGCUGCUUCUCCAGCACCAUGUCUGCCUGCACACUGCCAUUCUUCCCACCAUGACAAUAAUGAACUAAACCAAUGAAAUUGUAAGCCAGCCCCAAUGAAAUGUUUUCAUUUGUAAGAGUUGCUUUGGUCACUGUGUCUCUUCACUGCAAGAAAACCAUAAGGUUUUUUUUUUGUUUUUUUUUUUUUUUUUUUUUGGUUCUCUUUUUCGGAGCUGGGGACCGAACCCAGGGCCUUGCGCUUCCUAGGUAAGCGCUCUACCACUGAGCUAAAUCCCCAGCCCCAUAAGUUUUAUUUUCAAAUUCGGACUUGCUUCAUUUUUUAUUUGACUAUUACAGG
ensembl:lncRNA LOC120103526 uncharacterized LOC120103526